rnacentral:rRNA from 1 species
UAUGUAUAGGAUCUACCUAGUAGUACGGAAUAAUUGUUGGAAACGGCAACUAAUACCGUAUACGCCCUACGGGGGAAAAAUUUAUUGCUAUUAGAUGAGCCUAUGUUAGAUUAGCUAGUUGGUGGAGUAAUAGCCUACCAAGGCAAUGAUCUAUAGCUGAUCUGAGAGGAUGAUCAGCCACACUGGAACUGAGAUACGGUCCAGACUCCUACGGGAGGCAGCAGUGGGGAAUAUUGGACAAUGGGCGAAAGCCUGAUCCAGCCAUGCCGCAUGAGUGAAGAAGGCCUUUGGGUUGUAAAGCUCUUUUAGUGAGGAAGAUAAUGACGGUACUCACAGAAGAAGUCCUGGCUAACUCCGUGCCAGCAGCCGCGGUAAUACGGAGAGGGCUAGCGUUAUUCGGAAUUAUUGGGCGUAAAGGGCGCGUAGGCUGAUUAAUAAGUUAAAAGUGAAAUCUCGAGGCUUAACCUUGGAAUUGCUUUUAAAACUAUUAAUCUAGAGAUUGAAAGAGGAUAGAGGAAUUCCUGAUGUAGAGGUAAAAUUCGUAAAUAUUAGGAGGAACACCAGUGGCGAAGGCGUCUAUCUGGUUCAAAUCUGACGCUGAAGCGCGAAGGCGUGGGGAGCAAACAGGAUUAGAUACCCUGGUAGUCCACGCUGUAAACGAUGAAUGUUAAAUAUGGGAAGUUUACUUUCUGUAUUACAGCUAACGCGUUAAACAUUCCGCCUGGGGACUACGGUCGCAAGAUUAAAACUCAAAGGAAUUGACGGGGACCCGCACAAGCGGUGGAGCAUGUGGUUUAAUUCGAUGCAACGCGAAAAACCUUACCACUUCUUGACAUGAAAAUAUUAUCCCUAUUUC